rnacentral:rRNA from 1 species
ACGCUCGACACCUACGGGGGGCAGCAGUGGGGAAUAUUGCACAAUGGGGGAAACCCUGAUGCAGCAACGCCGCGUGAAGGAAGACGGUUUUCGGAUUGUAAACUUCUGUUCUUAGUGAAGAUAGUGACGGUAGCUAAGGAGCAAGCCACGGCUAACUACGUGCCAACAGCCGCGGUAAUCUGAGCGGGCUGGCAAGGC